CCUCUCGCGACGCGUAAACCCCGCACGUAAUCCCCCACCCUCUAAUCUCUCGAUGCCCCUCCCUGCAUUAAUCGCUGCUCCCCACCUCGCGCCUUCCCUGCCCGAGCUCUGCUUCCCACCUCGCUCGCCUCGCCUCGCCGGCAGUGAGCGCUCGCCAGAUCCAUGCUCCGCCGCCGUCGAUUCUCGCCUCCACCAGCCAACUACGCCACAUCACGACACGACCUCACAGGCCACCGACGAGGCCUCGCACCUCGACCUCACCGGCUAGCUCGACCCGCCUGGCACCACCAGCUCGUUCCCCCUCGCAUCUACCACCCGGCCGGGCAGCGAGUGCCUCACGGAUCCUCCUUCGAUCCUUCCCACCGGCCAGUUUUUUCAGUCGCCAAGUCGCCCCCAUCGAUUGAAUCUGCUGCAUCCGGGGGUACAUCAGCCAACCGGAGUAUAGGAUUGCAAAAUUCCGCCACUAUUUGGAGCUCCCCAUCCCCAAAUCAAAGGUGACACCCAACAAUGACCAAAAAAGAGUUGGUCAUGCUCCAGAGUCGAUAGCAUCACUUGUUUGCUUCAGAGAUUCCAUUCCUCCAAUGUAUCCUAUAUAUGCUUUCACUCUAUUUGGAUCUGGGAAACAAUACCAGUGUCAACCACAACCACGAGCACCAAGCCGGCAAACAGACAUGUGUUUGACUCCUCCGACUCCAUCUUGUCAUCCGCGGAGGCGGCAACGACCCUCCUAGUCGUCUCACCAGCGAUUUCGUCGGUCGUGCUCAGUGCAAGUAGUGCGAUGGAAGGCCGCACUGUCUUCUUCCUCCACCAGAUCAACGGCCUCCUUGGUACCGAUGAUGCUUGACUGUUGAAGCAAUAUUAGUAAAGAUAGGAAGCAAAUAACAUGAAUAUGUGCAUGUAUAUUUGUCUACUGUUGAAGCAGGAAAUGAAAGUAAUGGAACAUAGUUUGUUUA